rnacentral:lncRNA from 1 species
UGCUUCUGUCCCAUGUUUAAACAUUCCCAAACUCUAGAAUCCAUGACACCUCAUAAGAAGAUAGAACUUAGAACCCUCCCCCACCCAAGUAAUAAGAUCAACGGGCCUUGCCUUCUAAGGCUGCCUUUCUCAUGCAGGAAAUAUGAGUGCACAGAACUGUAUACUAAAAAAGUAAAUGUUACAUAAUAUAUGUUUUUAAAAUUAAUAACACCAAAUUCACAUAUUUAUAAAAAAAAAUAAUACCGGUGCCGUCUAUUGCCUCUCACGGGGUUACUGUGAGGGGAAAACAGCAGAUGUGAACAAUGGUACGCUCUGCACAAACAUUAUUAUGUAUAACCUAGGCCAGGUGCGGUGGCUCACGCCUGUAAUCCCAGCACUUUGGGAGGCCGAGGUUGGCGGAUC